GAGGAAUAUUGGGCAAUGCCCGCAAGGGUGACCCAGCAACGCCGCGUGGAGGAUGAAUGUCGUAAGAUUGUAAACUCCUGUUAGAGGGGAAGAAUAGUACCGGUUGGACCGGUAUAUGACUGUACCCUCAGAGAAAGCCCCGGCUAACUACGUGCCAGCAGCCGCGGUAGUACGUAGGGGGCACGCGUUGUCCGGAUUUACUGGGUGUAAAGGGCGCGCAGGCGGGAUAAAAAGUCAGUGGUGAAAUCCUACAGCUUAACUGUAGAACUGCCUUUGAUACUUUUAUUCUUGAGUUCGGGAGAGAGAGACGGAAUUCCAGGUGUAGUGGUGAAAUACGUAGAUAUCUGGAAGAACACCAGUUGCGAAGGCGGUCUCUUGGUCCGACACUGACGCUGAGGCGCGAAAGCGUGGGGAGCAAACA
rnacentral:rRNA from 1 species